GAUGCUGUAUGGCUGGAGAAGCUCCUGCCAGCCCCUGCUCUCCUUUUGUGGCAUUUUUCUUUAUCCCAAGAACUUGACUAAUAGUCUAGUCUGGGUUGUCCCUUUGAGGAGGCUUGUUGCUCUCUCAAUUUUCCCAGGCCCGGUGAUAUCCCUGAAGGCAGGUACAGGCAUGCUGCAGAAAUCUGGAGGCCUGCCCAAAAGUAUGUCUGUUGUUGGUGAAGGGGCAAUGUAGCAAUUACAUGAGUAAUGCGGUGGCAGGUCUAUGGGAAAUCAGAGCUGGAGAAAGAGGGCUGUUCUUGAAGGAAGGGUGGUGGGUGAACAAACCCUUGCCUUGCGAACCCUGUCUUCUCCUUCCCCUUCCCCCAAUCCCAGCUCCUCUCUCACCAAACAUCCUUUCAUGCUCACCCCACUCUGGUACUCAAGGAGCUGUGGAAAUGAGAAGGAAGCGGUUGCAGGUCAACAGUGGGCUUCCUCAGAGCCACUGACAGGUCCCUUCUGGCGGGGCUGGCUCCAGGGGCGGGAGCUGAAGACAGACCUUGGAGUCUGACCACUUCUGAGGGCAGCAGCCCGGCUCCUGGUGGCCCCGGCAGCAGAUAUUUAUGACUUAGAAAAGGAAAGCAACUUUAUUGUUCAGAGGCUUGGAAGAUAUCAUCUUAAAGUCAUCAAGGUUAGUGUCAUGAUUGAGACAUACUGACUUCAUGUGCCCUUUGAUAUGCUGUGCUUAGAAGGGCAUGCACCCUUCUAAGAAUAUUCUUCUGGAACUUCUGGAAUAUUCUUGCAUAAAACACAUAAACUUAAAACAAUCCCAGACUGAAGUACCAGACAACUGACAAUUCUUUUCAAAAAUGUCACAAUCAUUAAAGACAAGGACGUACUGAGAUAUGUCACAGCUGUUAGGAGGUAAGACUACAAUGUGGAAUCAUGGAAAUUUAAAUAAAGUCUAUAUUUUGGUUAAUAAUACUGUACCAAUGUUUUUUUUUAUUUUAAUAAUUACAACUUAACUGUAUGUGUUAAUCAGCUUUCCAUCACUAUCACAAAAUACCUGAGAUAAUUAACUUAUACAAAGAAAAGGUUUAUUUUGGCUUAUGGUUUUAGAGGCUGCAGUCCAUACUAGGCUGACCUAUUGCUUUUAGGCCCCUGGAAGGGGCUCUGGAUGGCAAUAGUGGGGAACAUAUAGCAGAGAAAACUGCUUUCUUCGUGGACAGGAAGAAAUGGAGGAAGACAUUGGAGUCUCAUAAUCCUCUUGGAAACUACUACACUCCCAGUGACCUAAGGACUUUCACAGGGUCCCACCUCCAAAAGGUUCCUCCACCACUCAGUGGUGCCACCUGAGGGACUACAACUUUUCAUAGGCUUUUGGGGGACAUUCUAAAUCCAAACUCUAAUGCUAUAUUUAACUUGUUGCAAAAAAUUUUUACAAAAGAGUGUACUGCAUCUAUAGAUAUCACAUAAUAAAGAGCACAAAAAAUCAACAAAGUUUUUCUCUUCUAGUGCUCAACAUUAUCCACUACAGCAAAGAAACAUCUUGUGUCAUUGUUAAACAGGUGAACUUCCAACAUGGUCUUUGUUAUUUUGCUUUUCUUUAGUAAUGUAAAAAUACUGACCAAUAUUCAUAUCAGAAAUGUAUUCACUGGUCAGUUGCUAGCAUAGAUUGGCUCUGGAAAUAAGGCUGGAAAAAGUCAGCAAAUUCACUCUCUGUAUAUUAAAUAGUUUGCAUUACUUACUUUAUAAAGGAUGGGCCACACAUCCUUCAUAACAGUAACAUUUAUAAUAAAUAUAUGCUGUUGGGCCAGGGAUUUAGUUCAGUGAUUCCGCUGCCUGCCUCUCAAGCGCAAUGACCCGAGUUCGAUCCCCAGUACCAAUAAAUAAAUAAAUAAAUGCUACUUUUUUCAGAGUCAGGUGUUAAAUAUUGCACAUCACUGAAUAUCUGUCAGAAUCACUCAUCUUUCUCUCUCUGAACCUUUUUUCCAGAAGUAAUUAAACAUAUUUAUUCAGUAUUGAAUCCACUGUUUAAAUACAUGAAAAAAUUUUGAGGAUAAGAGUUUUAUUAUAAAUACUUUUAAUAAAGUAAUAGGUACUUUGGUAAAGCAAAUCAUCACAUCUAUCAUUUUUAUAAAUAGAGUCUAGGGAUCUACUUGUGAUUUGUUGACAGCAGUUGCUUUCAUUCAGAUUGAGGAAAAUGAGUAAAAUAUCUUCCCCACACCUGCCUCCACAGCUCCUCAUUAAACACUGAUAUCUUCAUAGAAGUCAUUGCAUAAUAGCUUUCCAACAAGGUGCAAGUGUUGUCAUACAACAUGAUUCCAUUAAUAAAAUGUUUGUUUGUAUAUAUAUUUCAUAAUUUGUUGAGUCUGAAGAUAUCCUUCAAAUAUAAACAACCACCUACAUUGACCUAAAUGCUAAAGGACAAAACUUGUAUUUCAUUCUGUAGUCAUUUUCAGAUUUUCCCAUUUGGAAUUUUAUCCAUCUUUUUGACUGGAUUUUCACAGCUGUCCUCAACCUGACCCAAGCCACUUGUCUAGUCAUAGAGUCCAAGCUUGCACCCAGAUUUUCUGUGCUAUGGUUUGUGGGACGAGGUUGCCUAUUUCCACUUUUUGCCUUCUCUCUCUAGAGAUCUCUCCUCUUCUGCCUGGAAGAGCAUCUCCCUUCUGCUCUACCCAGAUGAAAACUUCUCUCUUACGAGGCACAAUGUCAGUUCUUCCUCCUUCCUUCAUGAAGUUCUCCACAAAGGCUUCUGCAACAUUCCUUCUUGCAACUCCUUAUUCUUUGGGGUACCGUCUAAUAAUUGGACAUUAUUAGAUACAUUGGAUUCUUGGAUUGUGGGUGUCUGUGUGUGUGUGUAUAACAUUAAGUCUCUAACAACUAAGACUACUUCUACCUUGGUAACAUAAACAAAAAUACCAACUAAUAGACAUAUUGAAAAUAUAUUUACUUAUCGAUUGCAACCAUAGGAAGGCUAUAGACUAUAAGACUGGCAAAAAUCAGCAACUGUACUCUGUAUUAAUUAGUUUAUAUUGUUUGUAUUUGAUUGUAUAUGUACUACAUAUAAUAUAUGCUUCUAUAUACCAUCCUUGAACUUUAGUAUAAAUUCAACAAAUAUUUGUUGACUGCUUUUUGAUACAAAUGAUAGCACAAUUGACGUUUUAUAUUUUCCAACUUUCUUCAAAAUCAGCCUUUAAACUUUAAGCAAAUUAUUUGUCUCUAGGAACUCUUUACUUCUGAGUUUUAGAAGGGUCAGUAUCAUUAUAAUCUGUAUUUGCAUAAGUCCUCUCUGCCUUUGCUUUCAUUGCUAAAAACAACAAAUAAAUCUCUUCCACAGUGAAGUGGUGAGAAUACCAAGCUCAGUCCCAGGUUGCCCCAGGUUAUCCCAAAGCCCACUCGGCUCCAUUUUGUAAGUCCUCGUCAGUCUAGUGCCCACCACUCUGCCUGGCUCUUCAUAGAACCUCAGAAAAUGGUGUAAAUGCUGCCCAGCCCUCUGACAGCCAUAAGAUUACUCUGGAGAGUGUCUCCUUAGAAGAGUUUAGGAAAUUAUUUGGCCACUAACAUAACUGUGUGCCUCCCCCCGUGUCUGCCAAGUUCCUAUCUUAAACACUGUUUGCAGCUUUCUUGAUUCCACCUAAGCAUAACGCAACUGAGAGAGCACCCACCACUCUGAGGAAUCGCAGUGCUAGCGGGCAAGGCCAAGACUUACUUAGGGUUUUGCUCUGCUGAAGUUUUUGUGGGGAAGGGGCAGGUUGAUGGCAGGAAACUAUUUGUUUAAGGGCUACCGGCAAAUGUGGGUGUUUACAAGGAUUUAUAUCUUAGGGUGAUUUGAUUUGCAGAAAAGUUACCUUUAAAAAAAGCUGGGUAAAACAGGUUCUGCAUUACACUUGUAUGAAUUGUCCUACAUGGCAUGAAUUAUUUUUCCCGAGGCAAUUAACUCAGAGUCUGAGCAGCUCAUGGGUGUUUUUAUGGCAGCCUGACACAUGGAGGCCACGGCUGCCCCUCUGCCCUGGCUAAUGCCUGACCUACUACUGAAGUUUGCCAAAUUGCAAUCUUAGAAAUAUAAUCAUCUUCAGGCAUUUCUACCUAGUUCACACUCUAAUUCCAUUGUCUAAAAAAACUUCAUCAAUCUCAUUAAUUUCUGCUCUGAUCUUUAUAAUUUCCUUCCUUGCACUAGCUUUGGGUUCAAAUUGUUCUUGUUUUUCUAGGACCUUAAAGUGCAUCAUUAGGUUAUUUAUUCGGGCUUGUUCUGUUUUUGUGAUGUGGGCAUUCAGAGUUAUAAACUUAGGAUUGCGUUCAUUGUUUUUCCAUAAGUUUGCUAUGUUGCACCAGCAUUUUCAUUUAGUUCUAGAAACUCUUAUUUCUUCCUUGAUUUCUUCUGUAAGAAAUUAAGACUUUGUAAAAUGAAAAAAGGAAAAAAGAAACUUCCUCUUAAACUCUACCAAUAGAUGCCAUGGGCUUGGAGCUGACAGGAGCUGGUCCUCAGGUUCCCAGGUCUUUCCUGGGGUGCCACCCCUCCCCAUUGCUGCCUUUGUUCUACUUUCUGAGGGCGCCUCUGAGUCUUGGCUGAGAUCCGGCCUCAGAAGUCCUCAUCACUGCACAUUGGCAGAGCUCCCUUCAUUUGCCAUUUUCCCUGUUGGUUUCUUUCCUUCAUGCGGACCCCUUCAUCUCUCUCAAUUCUAGCUAGACCAGCAGGAGGACGAUAUGAUGAGGAAAAGCAGAAGCGCAGCUCCUCCGCAGGGUGGGAGAGAGCUUCAUUUGCAGCUUUGGCUGACUGGUGGUUGAGCUUGGGUGAGGCAAGUCUGCCAGUUCCUUACACAAUGCAGGGGGGUGAGUCUGUGGAGAAACUUGCCCUGUCCUUCUCCCUGUUCUUGUCGCCCAGCAGGGACUUGUCCACACAGGGCAUAUGGCUACUGAUCUUGGUUCAUUCCAAAGGCUACUUGUGGGUUAUGUUUUCCUGAACCAUGUUUCAACCAACUCCUCUGCAUAUGCGCUAGAACCCAGACCGUAUCACUACUUCAGAAAGGAGAGACUUUCCUGCUUUAGCUGUGGUAGCUUAGGACUUAGUCACAGCCAUGCCGCAUGAUUAGAGGUGAGUUGUUCUUGUGAUGAUCAGAUUUUUAUUGGGAAAGAGUGUCGAUCCUGGCUACUGAGAGUUCUUUUCUGAGCUACAAUCUGAGAGGCUUGCCUUUUAAAAUCUUUCCACUUUUCCUGUGCUGAACACCCACCAGGUGUAUGCAAAUAUCGCCUCUCUCCCCUUUCCCAGGCAGUACUCACUUUGGAGUUUUUCCUUCUAUAAUAUUCUAUUUAAAGGGGUUAUCAGUGUCACUAUCCUUCUUCUAAAAUUCGCAGCCUUCCAGGAUGGGUGAAUAAUUGCUUUUUCACGAGAAAAAUCAAUAUCUGCCACCCCCUGAAAGUAGGGUAGGGAGCAGCUGGACAGAGGCCUGCACUUCAGCUGAGCAGCAAGGUUGUUGGUGUGACCUCAGAGGUUAUGGCUUCUUGCUUGGUUUACACAAAGUUCAUGAUCCAGGCAGAGGAACAGGAGCCUACAUGAAACUAGAAGCUCAUGCCAAGCGCUGUACCAUGACAGCCUUGGGCUCAGGGAGCAGCCGCUGAGCUCCAGCAGUAUUGUUGACCCAGGGUGGUCCUCAAGAGAAAAUAAGACCUCACUUCAGGGAUUGGCAAGAGCGGGAGACUGCUUACCCACAGGUAGAAGCCCACUUGUUCCCCACACCUGAGAACUAUGUAAUUUAUGCCUCUGGGCAGUUUGUCUUCCAAGGCUCAAGGAACUGAGGGAAAAAAGGAAUAAAGAAAAGAAUACAUUUUGAACCUAUUAGGUCAUUUUUUGAUUGAGAUUAGAGAAACUCAAUUCCUCCAUAGUCUACAGGGCUUGAAAUAGUCUGGUAUUUGUGAGGAUUUUUCUAGCCUCACUUGAAAACACACACACACAUCAUUGAAAUAUAUUUUAAAUACAUUAAGUACAUCCCUUUAAAGCAGCAGUCCCCACCUUUUUUUGUCACCAGAAACAAGACAAGUUUUCCCCAGACCCAAGGAGUGAGGGGCUUGAGGGGGAUGGUUUCAGAGAAAGGGACAACCUGAGUCUCUUGCAUGGGGAGUUCACAGGUAGGGUUUGUGCUCCUGUGAGAAUGUAAUGUCACAGCUGAUCUGACAGGAGGUGGAGCUCAGGAGGUAAUGUGAGCAAUGGAACUGAUUGCAAAUACAGAUGAAGUUUCACCCACCAGCCUCUGCCCACCUCCUGCUGUGCAGCUCAGUCCUAAUAGGACCCCUGCUGAUGUCCCCUGGCUUAAAGUGCAGUGAUUUUGGUAUAUUCACAGAUAGGUGCAGUCAUCACUACAUUCAAUUUUAGAACACUCUCAUCACCUCAGAAAGAAACUGCACUGUUCAGCAAUCAUAACCCUACUUGCCCCCCAUCCCAUCACUAAGCAACCACUGAAUCACCUUCUGUUGUUAUAGAUUUGCCUAUUCUCACAAACAUGGUCUUUUAUGUGUGGCUUCUUUUACUUGGCAAAAUGUUUUCAAGCAUCAUAUGUAUGAAUCAGCUCUUCAUUCCUCUAUAAUAAUGGGAUAAUAUAAUAAUGUGGAUAGGUCACAUUUUGUUUAUUUGUUCACCAUAGAAUAGAUUUUUGCGUUGUUUCCAUUGUUUGGCUGUUAACCUCACUCUCAACAAUCACAUGCACAUCUUUGUAUGAAUAUAUGUUUUCCAUUACCUUGGAAAGAAAUUGUGGAGUUAUACUUUUGCUUUUUAAGAAACUGCCAGACUAUAUUCUAAAUUUUCUAUAUCACUUGGCAAUCUCACCACUGAAGUAGGAGGGUUCCAAUUUCUCUACAUCCUUUCAGCACUUAUUAUUAUCCUUUUUUAAAAUUUAAGCUAUUGUGGUGAAUGUACAGUGGUAUCUCAUAGUCCUUUUGAUUUGCAUUUCUUUUGUUAUUAAUGAUAUUGAGCAUCUUAUUAUGUACUUAUUGGCCAUUUGGAUAUCUCAUUUGGAGAAAUGUCUAUUCAAAUCCUUUGUCCAUAUUUUAAAAAAUGGUUAUGUUGCUUUUCUAAUUUUGUUCAUUCAUAAACCAGCCUAGCGGUUAUAGAAUAUUUUGCAUGGUGGGGUGAUAUAGAUAAUAGAAUUUUUAAAAUAUAUCGGGAGGACUUUAUUUCAAAAUAGACUAUUUCUAGAGCAGCUUUAGGUUCACAGCAAAAUUGAGCAGAAAGUAUGGAGUUUCCUUGUAUUUUCACACAUACAAGCUUCCCUCGCUACCAAUAUCCUCUAUCAGAGGUACAUUUGUUGUGACAUGUCAUCAUCACUCAAAGUCCAUAGUUUACUCCAGGGUUUACAAAAAUAACAUGACGUAUGUUUACCAUCGAGCAUCAUGGAAAUAGUUUCACUGCCUUAAAAAUCCUCUUUACUUGACCUCUUCAUCCCUUCUUCUCUGGCCACAGAUUUUUCUACUGUCUCCAUAGUUUUGCCUUUCCCACAUUGUCAUAUAGUUAGACUCGUGCAGUAUAUAAGCUUUUCAGAUUGGGUUCUUUUACUUAAUAAUACACACUUACAUUUCCUCCAUGUCUUUUUAUGGUUUGACGGCUUAUUCUUAUUAAAGCUGAAUAAUAUUCCAUUGUAUAAGUGUACUACAGUUUAUCCAUUCACCUCCUCAAGGAUAUCUUUGCUGCUUCCAAGUUUUGGUAAUUAUGAAUAAAACUGCUAUAAACAUCAUGUGUUUUUACAUGCAUUUGUGUAAAUGUGUUUUCAAUGCAUUUGGGUAAAUACCAAAGAGUGCGAUUGCCAGAUUAUGUAAAUGCAUGUUUAAUAUUGUAAGAAACUGGUAAACUGACUUCCAAAGUAACUGUACCAUUUUGCAUUCCUGCUAGCAGUGAAUGGGCGUGUCUGUUGCUCUAUAACCUGGCCAGCAUUUGAUGUUGUGUUUUGGGUUUUGGCCAUUAUAAGUGUGCAAUAAUUGGUAACCCACUGUUGUUUUCACUUGCAGUCCCCUGGUGACCAUGCUGUUGAGCACCUUUUCAUAUGCUCAUUAGCCAUCUGCAUAUUUUCUUUGCUGAGGCAUCUGUUCAGGUAUUAUGGCUAUUUUUAAAGUAGGCUGUUCAAUUUCUAUUGUUGAGUUUUAAGAGUUUCUUGUAUCUUUUGGAUAAGUCUCUAUCAGGUAUAUUUUUGUAAAUAUAUUUUUCCCAGUCUAUGUCCUGUCUUCUCAUUCCUUGACAGUGUGUUUUACAGAAAUUUUAAUAUUCAUGAAAUCUAAUUUAUCAAUUAUUUCUUUCUUGAAUCACCUUUUUUUAUGUUGUGCCUAAAAAGUUAUCCUCACACUGCAGGUUAUCUAGAUUUUUCUCUGUUAUCUUCCAAGAAUUUUAUAUUUUUGCCUUUUCCAUUUAUGUUGAUGAUCUAUUUUGAGUUAACUUUGUGAAGGCUGUAAGGACUGUUUCUUUUAUUGCUUGGGAAUUUUUGUACAUUUCUUAUUGGAUUGUUUGGGUUGUUUUUAAUUAUUAAGUUAUAAAAAUAUAUAUGCUAGAUAUAAGCCUCUGCAUUGAUAUAUGAUUUGAGAAUACUGUCUCCCAUUCUGUGGGUUGUCUUUCCACUUUUAUGAUGGUGUGUUUUGAAGCACAGAAGUUUUCAUUUUGAUGAAACCCAACUUGUCUAUUUUUUCUCUUGUAACUUGUGAAUUUGGUGUCAUGUCUAAGAAAUCAUUACCUGAUCCAAGGUCAAGCAGAUUUACUCUUAUGUUUUCUUCUAAGAAUUUUAUAGUUUUAGCUUUUGCAUUUAGCUAAUUAUGUAUUUUUUGAGUUAAUUUUUGUAAAUGAUGUGAGAUGUGAGCCCAGUCUUAUUCUUCUGCAUAAGGGUAUCUAGUUGCUCUGACACAAUUUAUCAAAAAGACUAUUCUUUCCUCUUAAUUAUCUUAACAUCUUUGUCAAAAAUCAAGUAAUCACUGAAGGUAAAAGUGUUUAUUUCUGGACUCCCAAUGACAUUGCAUUGAUCUGUAUGUCUAUACCAGUACCAUACUGUCUUGAUUACUAUCGCUUUUUUAGUAAGUUCUGAAGUUGGAAAGUGUGUCCUCUGCUUUUUUUUUUCAUCUUCAAGAUGUUUUGACUAUUCUGAGUCCCUGAAUUUGGAUCAGCCUGUCAAUUUCUGCAAAGAAAUAAUCUGGGAUGUUGAUAUGGAUUAUGUCAGAUCUUAUUUGGGGGAAUAUCACCAUCUUAAUAGUAAACCCUCUAGUUUGUGAACAUGGGAUGCUUUCCCAUUUAUUUAGGUCUUUCUUAAUUUCUUUCAACUAUGUUUUAUAGUUUACAGUGUGCAUAUCUUGUACUUCCUUUAUUUAAUUAUCCCUAAGUAUUUCGUUCUUUGUGAUACUAUUGUAAAUGAAAUUAUUUUCUUAAUUUCAUUAUUUGAUGAUUUGUUGCUAGUAUAUAGAAGUGUAACUGACGUUGAUGUAUUAAUCUUGUAUCCUGAAACCUACCUAAAUUCAUGUAUUAGUCCUAAUAACCCUUUCCUUUCCAUUUUGCACUGUUUUCCUCCUUGUCUAUGAAUUGUACUCUGUCUAAUCUUCUUUCAGUUUCUCCAAAGUGCUAAGCUCUCAUCACAGAAACUUUACAUAUUCUGUCCCCUCUGUCUGGAUUUCAUGCUUAUUUUGGAGUCUUCCACCUGAUUAACUCAUCCUUCAGCUCUAUCUCCACAAGCUGCCACAGCUGACUUCAGUUCAUAUCUUAUCCCUUUGUGCAAACAACUAUAAUUCUGUGUUUUUCUUCAAUGUUUUCCUCAGUUUAUCCCCUCAUUUGUACCUACAUAGUGCCUGGCACAUAGUGAAUACUUAACAAAGCAUUUGUCAAAUGAAACAAAGAAUGAAUAAUUGGCAUUGGGAAAAUAUAGCCAUCAUUAAGAACUUUGAGUGAGGCUGAUGGGGAGAAUUGAAGGUGCAGCACAUAGUAUCUACAUAACCAGUCUGGCCUUCUGAGGAUUUACAUUCCACAAUGGAAUGUGAUUGUCUUGAGAGAACAGAGCCAUUGAGCAUGACACCAGUAACAUGUGGUUUCAUGUUGUUUCUCCACUAAAACUCCCUUCUUGGUGGUGGGAAAUUCAGAAAGGAAAACCCAGCUAUCUGAAUCAUUUGCAAAUGAAUAAUCUCUGUCUGACUUUUUAUUUGCACCUUACCUUUCCUGAGGUACAGCUCACUUUCGGAAAAAGUGUGUGUGGGGGGGGUUGAAAAGAUUUGUUUAUUUUUCUUGCAAAAUAUGUCCACGGUGACAAACAGGGAAAUUCCCAACCAGCUGUCCCAGUGACCAGCCAGAAAAAGAUUCCCCUGGAACUCUAUAGCAGAAGACUGUGUGCCAGAUGCCCUGAAAGAAUGUUCUGGAGUCUUAUAAUUACCAGGCUCAACUCUGAUGCUUUGCUGGCACCGUAAGUCCCAUGGAAUCAGGUGGGAGGAUAAGUGUGGUAGAAAGGAAAGGGAAGAUGAGCUGAAAGGCCUGAGAAAUGAAAUCAGGAUGAGAUGGUGUGUGAUUUCCUGCUGCAUGAUGGAUUUCCUAUCCAAUUCUGGGAACCCAUAUCCCAGUAAUCAGGCCAGACAGAAGGACAAGGUUUGCAUUCAGGAUUUUCACAUUGUGCUAUAUUUUAUAUAAUCCUUACAGAUCUGAAAUGGGGCUUGGUUCCAAGUGGUUUGAGACCUUUUAGACCCAGUGAAGCAUUGUAUUAUGAAGCUAUAGACCACUGUGAUAGGUUUUGUCUUGUAUCUCCAUCAUCUAGCCCAAUACCUGACUCAGAGGAAGGGCGCAAUGAAAAUUGAACACAGCAUCUUAAAUAAGUCAGUGCAUACCAAGCUAAUUUGCAAAUUAGCUUCUACAGCCCAGUUAACUAAGCUCAUUUUCUUUUUUUUUCUUUUAUUUAUUUAUUUAUUUAUUGGUUCCAGAGAUCAAACUUGGGACCUUGCGCUUGCAAGGCAGGCACCGGAACCACUGAGCUAAAUCCCUGGCCCUCCUUUUCAAAAUUUUAUUCUGACACUCAUCCAUCUUUUUGUCUUCUAUAGCAAACGGUGCAAGUAUUUAGAGUUCUUAAUUUUUGUUGUGUGAGAUGAAUAAUUAAUUAAUUAUGAAUACAUUCCAUACAUAAAUAAAUAAAUAAAAUCAUUGUUCUGCUGUUACUAAAAUAUGAUUUAAAAUGAAAGAUAUGGCUUUCUAGGUAUGAUUUUUAAAUACUUUGUCAAAGGAGAGUUUAAAAUAGUAGAAGUUUGUAUUGAAACAAAAUGGAAGAAGAAGCUUAUAAAAGCACAAUACUCAACUAUAUUUACUUUCUUUGACUAACAUACUCAGGUAAACACAAUAUAAGAGCUACCCUUAUUUUUCUUCCUAUCUCAAAAUGCCUCUGUAAUAAAAGGGUAAAAAUGAUCACAAUUUGGAGUCCUUUCUUCCAAACACUUCCAUUAUCAGUCAUAUUUGAGGAUAAUGUCUUAGGUCAGAGGUUUCUGAGUGUUCGUGGACAAGUUUCCAGUUGCUGCCUAAAGAAAUUAUUGCUCAAUGGUGGCAGACCUUUAAGUCAGGAUGGCUUUCCUUGAGUUUAAUAAUGUAUUAAAUUUGAUGCAAACUGUUACAUAUUUAAGUGGGUCAAGAUCAUUGAACCUGGAUUUUCUUCCUGAGAUUUCCUUUACUCUCAAAGCUUUGCCAAUCAUUUAGAUGCUGUUUUGGUUCCAUAAAUAUUCAUUGCACUUUGGUGGAGAUACUGUUUUAGAUUCUGUAAAAAGAGCAGUGAGUAACAAACACAUAAAGCUCCUGUACGUGGAGUGUAUGUCCUGGGAGAGCUUAUUAUUUUCCCCCUAGUCAAAUGAAACAAAAACAGUGCAUGUCUCAAAGGAUACUCUGAGGACUCUAUGGGGUCGGAGAGGGUAUAGAAGGAAGCGAGAAAUGAUCCCUGACUUUUCAAGGAUCUUGGCUAUAUGUGGAUUUGAGCAGAAGUCAAGGAAUACAUUAUUGAGGUGCAGGAAUGUGUACAUGAUUUUAGGCUGCACGGAAGGAAGCAAGAAAAAAUGUUGAAAACAUGAGUGAGAGGAAAAGAAUGAUAUCAAGGGAUUGGGAGAGAUUAACGUUGAUCAGGAAACAGAACUGUGACUGCAGACGUCAUGGGAAAAGUUGAGCGGGGCGGUAGAAAGUGUGCUUUCACAGCCAACCCUGGAGAGGUGUUAUUCCAAGUUGUUAAUGGUUUUCCGUAGUAGGAAACAGGAAUUUUGAAGGGUAACGUGUGAUGCCUUUGAGACACUUUCCUUGUUGAGCUAUAUGCUAGGCAGGUUUGACAUGGAAGUAAUUUAAAUAUUCAUAGAAACAGAAUUCAUGUCAGUGCUUUUCAAAAUACCUGGAUACUUUACAUAUUCCUAGGUCCCUGUACCAGGUGCUUCAAAAUGCAAUCUUUGGAAGUUGUUCUUGGAAUCUAGCACAUUCACAGUGUCGUGCAACCAUAAUCACUAUCUAGUUCCAAAACAUUUCAUGAUCCAAAAAUGACACUGAAUACCCAAUAAGAAGUCUCUGCAUUGGGCUAGGGAUUUAGCUCAGUGGUUCUGCCUUCUGCCUUGCAAGUGCAAGGCCCCAAGUUCGAUCCCUGGUACCAAAACAAGAAGAAAAAAAGAGAAAAAGAAGUCUCUGCAUGUGGCAUCACUUCAGUGCUUACAAACUUCAGAUUUGGAAUCAUUUUAGCUUUUAGAUUUUUAGAUUAGGGAUGGUUAACCUGCAGUUAAAUUUAUUAUAGGUGCAUAUAUCUAAG
rnacentral:lncRNA from 1 species